GGCGCGAUGAGGUUCCGGUUCUGUGGUGAUCUGGACUGUCCCGACUGGGUCUUGGCAGAAAUCAGCACGCUGGCCAAGAUGGUUGAGUGCACAGGGUCUAGUCUGGGUGGAGGAGGGGUGUUGGGCUGGGGAUUGUGGGUGUAGAGGAUGGUGAGGUUUCUCUGGGGUUAGGCCCUCAGUGCUCUCAGCCUGUGCUACCAUGCUUUGUGACCUUGAUCAGUGGCUGGCCUGCUCUGAGGCUGUCCCCAGGAAGGAGGGGUGAGGUUUGCCAGCCUGGCUGAUGUAAGGACUUCCCUUCCAGUCCUCUGUGAAGUUGCGGCUGCUCUGCAGCCAGGUACUAAAGGAGCUGCUGGGACAGGGAAUUGAUUAUGAGAAGAUCCUGAAGCUCACGGCUGACGCCAAGUUUGAGUCAGGUGAUGUGAAGGCCACAGUGGCAGUGCUGAGUUUCAUCCUCUCCAGUGCGGCCAAGCACAGUGUCGAUGGCGAAUCCUUGUCCAGUGAACUGCAGCAGCUGGGGCUGCCCAAAGGUACGGGUUGUGGGUGGGCAGCUGGGCAGCCUGUGGGCCAAGGGCUGCUAGAGAGGGGGACGGACCCUGAGGUGUACCCUGCCCUGUUUGGGCCAGGAGCCCAAGCUCAGCUCCCACCUGCUACCUCCAGAGCUACUCCAUUCUACCCCCAGAGCACGCGGCCAGCCUGUGCCGCUGUUAUGAGGAGAAGCAAAGCCCCUUGCAGAAGCACUUGCGGAUCUGCAGCCUACGCAGUAAGUAUGAGGCCAGCCAGGGUCCGGGCUCAUUCUAGAAGGUGCACGCAGCACGCAAAGUGCAUGGAGAGUCCAGGGAGACGACUUAACCAUGGUCACAUGGUUACUAGCAGCCGUAGAGCUGGGACCUGGCCCUGGGUCUCCUGACUCCCCCCAAGGUUUCUUGUCACUGAGGUCUGCUGUGGGUGAUCCAAACUUAUUAUCGGGC
rnacentral:sRNA from 1 species